rnacentral:rRNA from 1 species
UCUCGAGUUUUUACAAAAACACUUUUUAAUAAUGGUAUUAAAAGUAGUACGACCCCCCCGAAGAAUUAAAAAAGGGCUGUGUUUUUUCCGUCGUAAUAAGGCAUCAUCGUCAUUUUUUUAUUUAGUAAGAAGUUGUAAGAAUUAAUAAAAUAAAAUUUUUUUUAAUUAUUUUUUUUUUUGAAAUUAAAUUUUUAGUGAAAAUGCUAAAUUUAUUUAAAAAGACGAUAAGACCCUAUAGAGCUUUAUAAUUAAUUUUAUAUUUAAAUUUGGGGGAAUUUAUUUAUAAUAUUAAUUAUUUAGUUGGGGCAACUAUAGAAUAAAAUUAAUUUCUUUCCAUGAAUUUAAAAAUUAUAAUUUAAUCUUUUAUUAAAAAAAUUAAAAAGUUACCUUAGGAAUAACAGCGUUAUUAUUUUUUAGAGUUCUUAUCGAUAAAAUUUUUUGCGACCUCGAUGUUGAAUUAAGUAAAUCUUUAUAGAGCAGUAUUUAUAUUAGAU